AGGCCUUUUGCCAUAAGAAGAAAAUGUCUCCAGUAGCUGCUAGUCCAAGAAGGAUGAGAGACACUAUGGCACAAAGCCCAACUGAAUCCUCCUAUAUCACUAUCAUAUUGGAUCUCAGGAGAGAAGAAAUACUGGAUCUUUUUUCCCAAGACGUAUGAGAGAAAAUAGGAAAAUAAAGACAAUGGAAGACCAGUUCUCGAGAUCAUUUUCAAUCUGGCUUUGCCUAUCUGUCUGUGGUCCUCAACACGGCAUCAGUAUACUUCUCUCCAUCUGCAACUUUACCAGAACAACAUAAUAAUGCUACCAUUAAUACUUUGUCCAAGACACUGUGCUAAAUUAGCAAUAAAUAUAUAUUUACUUUAAUCUCCACAGAAACCUGAUGAUUGGUUGUAAUUAUCCUCAUUUCACAGAUGAUAAAAUAGAGGCUGAGAGGCAAUUAUUAGCUUGCAAAGGUCCUAGUAAGGCCAGUUGUCCACUACACUACCCUGCUUCCACAGCAUCCCAAAGCCCUUGAAUCUUGUAAACUUCUUGUACAUUUGCUAUAAUCAACUGUUGAUAAGGAGAGGUUUUAGCCAAAGGAGGCAAGUUUUACAAAUCUGAGAACAAUACAAAUGACUGAGUAAAAUGGUUAAAUCAUCAAAUCCCAAAUUGCUACCUUCAGAUUGCUGUGAUUCUUGAGCUAAAAUAGUUUUGCAGAGGGGGGACUCUUAAGCUAAAACCCAAAUAGGAAAUUUUACUUUUUCCAAAGGAACCCUGGGAAUAUAGCCCUUCUACCACCCUAUGGUAGGAGAGCAAGUGAGACAGCAAGACUAAGAGUGAGAGCAAGUGAAAGAGAAAGGAUGCGUGCCAGGGUACCUUGGAAUGAUAGCAUAUCUUAUAAUGUACAUUACAUGUUCACCAUGCUCUGUCCAUUAGAGGAUGGCUAACCUCUUUGCUUCCAGCUUUACCAAAGGCUGUGUAGUAAUACAGAGAAACAAAAAUAGCAGAGGCUAUAGAAAUGACCAAAACAACUGUAAACAUAUUAAAGUCUCAGAACUAUGGCUUUAUUAUUGCAAACUGUUGCAUGUUCCAGCUCCUGUGGCCCAUGUUCAUAAAAGCAAACAUAAUGCAAGCAAUACAAAUAAUACUAUUUAUAAAAGAGUAUUGAUAUGGGAAUAUGCUAAGUAAAAGAAAGCAAGCUACAAAAUAAUGUGAUUUCUAUUUUUAAUCCACACACACACAAAUAUUUGUACAUACAUAGAAAGUGAAGUACAUAUACUAAUGUGUUAAAGGACUUUUGAUAAAGCAGGAAGAUUUUUUUUGUUUGAGCAUUAGAACUUUCUUCAUUUUCCAGUGUUUAAACACUGAACAUUUGAUUUUUUUAAAAAGUAUUAAAUGAAAUAUUCACCUAAAGACAUAGGUAGAUUAUAACAAUUCAGUGUUUAAUACCUAAACAACAAACAAAUGCAGGACAUGAACCCAAUGCAGAGCACAGACGAAAAUUAGCAAGUAACGUAAGAAAAGGAUAAAGAAAUAAGAGAAGAUCUAAACAGAUCAAAGAGGAAGACAUUUCUGUAAAUGUAAUCUAGCUAAAUAUUUCAUUAUUCCCUUAAGAGGAGGAAUGAAUUAAAGACCCAAACCGUGGAUUGAGCAACAUGAUGGACUAGAAGCCCCUAUUGCCUAUGCCCUCCCCACAAAGACAGCCAAAACAAUGAAUAACAAAUUACAUUUUGAUGACAAUAACUAGAAUGUUGAGGUACACUAAAAAAGUAACAGAAACGCUGGUAAGCAAAGAAACUUAGGAUAGCCACAUAGAGAACAGAAGGAAAUACCUGGCCUCUACCUCCCAUUCUCCAGCCAGGAUCAGCUGGGGACCAGAAGGAAUUUCUCCUUGUAGGGAAAAGGCAAACAAGAAGAUUCCAGCAGCCCCCAUCAACAAUACCUAAAGUCAUUCACCACUGGGGACUCCUGCAGUCCUCACAAGCACUAAGCCCAGUUGAAGGAGCUGCCUGGAUUCCAUAUAGCUGUGCUUCCCCGAGAGAAGGAGCUGACAUCAUGUUCCAGCUCCUGUGGCCCAUGUAGCUACUUUACUGUACCUUCACAGAACUAGAACUACUGUUGGAGUAUCUUAUUGUGGGGACAAGUGGCCACAGCACCCUUUCCCCUGACACUAACCACCACCAAACCACUCCCACUCAGUGACUCAACAUCCCCAAGCAGAGCUGGGAGCAGCUGUUACGCCCUUCCCUGUGCGGCCAAGCAGUGGCAGAACCACUCCGCCUACCCUUCACAGUUGUGGCUGUGCCCUACUCCCUCACACUGGAGCUGAAACUUUGCACUCCCUCCUGGAGAAAUGGUGCUUGACAGAGCAGUUCCAUCAACCCUUUCCUAGUCACUGCUAUGUCCUGACCCUAGGGGCCUGAGCUUAAUCUGUACACUGCCUCCUGAGGAAACUAUGCCUUCUCAGAAUAGCUCUGAAAGCUCCUUCCAAUCACCCCUGCGCCCAGUCCCAUUAGACUGAAGCUGAAGCUGUAUACUGCCUCCUAGGGAAAUGGUGCUUUGGUGGAGCAGCUCUGCAUAUACUUCUCAGUUCUACACCUGCCCUCCUGUACUAGGGCUGAAGCAACACUUGGCAUCCUAGGAAUAGUGCUUUGGCCACCCAGAGGAGUUGCAUCUUUCUGUGCCUGAGUGGAAGUGGUACCCUGCCCCUUAAGAAAGCUAUAUAUUGGUUGCCCAGAGCAGUCAUGCCUUCCCAGUGCCUAAUUUGAAGCAGCACCUUACUUCCUGAAAAACAGUGCCUAAGUCAUCCAGAGUGGUAAUGUACCCCAGUAUCUAAACUGAAGCAGCACCCUGCAUCCCGAGGAAACAGUGCCUGGUCCAUCUAGAGCAAUCACACACCCCAGGCCUGAGCUAAAGUAGCACAUUAUCCCCUGGGGAAUCAGUGCUUUGGCUGAGCUGAACAAAUCCAUAUCCCUGGGCUGAGCUGACAUAUCACCCUACACCCUAGGGAAGAAAAGCAGUGGAUGAGCUAAGACACCCUAUCCUACAGGCCAAAUAAUUUUAGUACCUUGCUUCCUGGAGCAGAAUUAGCCCUCUAGAAUCUGAAUUGCUCAGAUAUUCCUCUCCUGGGGGAGUUGAGUCAUUGAUGUGCUGCUCCCUGACCCCCAGGGAUCAAAUGACAGCCAUUUGGUCGGCCAUUCUGUGCUCUGCCAUUCUGAGGUAUUCACUACCACUGCGCCUAGCCUCAUAUAAUCUGAGAUACUGCUAAGUCCUACCAUCCUGAAGUCAUGGUGCCUCAUCCCCUAAGGCCUGAGUUGCCCUAUUAGCUUUGGUUUCCAAAAUGCUGCCAUAUCCCGCUUCCUGGGCCUAAACCUCCUGGAGGUUUGGAGAGCAUCCCUUCUUCCUAAAAAAGAGCCAGUGCUGUACCCUGCUCCCCAAGGAUGGAAUCACAACUAAAACCCAGCCCCCAAGGCCCAAGUUUUAAGGGAUGUUUCAGAGUCACUGAUCCUGCAUCUGUGGGCAAUCAACAUCAACAUCCAACCCUGCCACAGAAAGUGAACCUGUAACCCCAAGAUCCAAGUGUCACAAUAUGUUGACGAGACCCUGAACCUAGAACCCUAGGUCCAAAGCCACUGAGCACCUGCAUCUGGAACCCAAUGGCACUGCAACUGCUUGUAGGCUGUGUCAGACCCAAUACCAAGAGGGAUCCCCUAAGCUAAGUCUCCCUAUUAUGGGGAAAACAAGAAUAGAAACCUUUGGCCAUCAAGAACAUUAACAAACUACACCACCACUGCUGUGUCACAAAAUUCUAUAGCCUUGGUCACUGAGGCACUCACAAUUAUCACUGGAAUUGGUCACAGAUGAAGCUGCACAGAGACUAUGCCACUACAUCUAUUCAGAACCAGAGUCACUACACCCUUCUCAACCAGAAUACAAGGCCCCAAAUGCAGGUGAAAGUCUUCCCCUACCAAAGCCACUAUAAAAUUUGAAAGAGGUGAUUGUUCCACCAUAUAAACAGAUAUCAACAGAGAGACACGGGAAAUAUUAAAAAAAAAAACAAAUAAAACACCACCAAAAGAACACAAUAACACUCCAGUAGCAGACAACAACAAAAAAAAAAAAAAAAAAAAAAAAAAAAGAAAAUCUACAAAUUGCAAGAAAAGAAAUUUGAAAUUAUAAUGUAAAGGAAAAAGCUCAGGAAAACAAUUUACAAUAUAAAUGAGAAAUUUCACAAAGAGAUGGAAAUCAUAAAAAAGAACCAAAUGGAUAUCAUGCAGCUGAAGAAAUCAAUUAAUAAAAGAUACAAUAAAGAGCAUCAAUAGCAGGCUAGAUAAAGCAGAAGAAAGAAUCUCUGAACUUGAAACAUGUCAUUUGAAAUUAUUCAGUCAGAUUUUUAAAAAGUAAAAAUGAAAAAGAAUGAAGAAAUCCUGCAGGACUUAUGGAACACCAUUAAGCAAAUAAAUAUUUGCAUUAUGGCAUUAGAAAAGGAGAAGAGAUGGGAAAAGGUGUGGAAAACCUAGAUGUUUAAUUAUAUAAUAGCUGAAAACUUUCCAUGUCUUUCCCAUAUGGAAGAGAUAUGUAUAUCCAUAUCCAGAAAGCUCAAAUGUACCAAAUAGAGUCAACACAAAAAGAUCCUCUCUGAGGCACAACAUAGCCAAAUUGUCAAAAGCCAAAGAAAAAUAGAGAAUUCUAAAAACAAAAGCAUGAAGUCACAUAUAAGGGAAUCCCAACUGGACUAAUAGAUUUCUCAGCAGAAAAUUUACCGGCCAGGAGAAUCAGAUUAUAUAUUCAAAGUACAGAAAGAAAAAUAAAUUUGUUGGUCAAGAAUACUAUACCCAGUGAAGUGAUCUGUCAGAACUGAGAAGGAAAUGAAGUAUUUCCCAGACAAGCAAAAACUGAGAAAAUCGAACACCAUUAGACCUGCCUUACAAGAAAUGUUCAAGGGAGUGGUACAUCUGGAAGCAAAAAGAUGAUAGCCACCAUGAUGAAAGCACGUAAAAUGAUAAAACAUUCAUAAAGGAGACACAAAAAGGAGAAAGAGAAAGGAAUCAAGGCUUAUCACUACAGAAAAACAACAAAACUGUAAUGAUAAACAAUAAGAGAAGGAGAAAGGAACAAAAGAUACAUGAAAAAUAAAAACAGAAAACAAUCAACAAAAUGACAGGAAUAAGUCCUCACAUAUCAAUUAAAACCUUCAAUGUUAAUGAAUUAAAUUCUCCACAUAAAAAACACAGAGUAGCUGAAUAGAUAAAAACCAAGACCCAGCUAUGUGCUGUCUCCAAAAGGCUCAUACUAUCUGUAAAGACACACAUAGACUGAAAGUGAAGAGAUGCAAAAAGAUAUUCAACAGAAACAGAAACCAAAACCAAGCAGGAGUAGCUAUAACUUACAUCAGACAAAACAGAAUUUAAGUCAAAAACAGUCAAAAGAGACAAAAAAGAUCACUAUAUAAUGAUAAAG
rnacentral:lncRNA from 1 species